rnacentral:rRNA from 1 species
UGCGGAAGGAUCAUUAAUGAAUUUUGGAAGGAGUUGUAGCUGGCCUUUUCGUCUGAGAGGCAUGUUGUGCAUGUUCUGAUCAUCAUCCAUUUUCACACCUGUGCACGCCCUGUAGGGGUUGGUUUUCUGUGGGGUCGAGUCUUUGUCGAUUCUGCCUUGCGGGGUGCCUCCCCUACGUUUUACCACAAACUACUUAGUCUAAAGAAUGUCUGUUGCGUUUAACGCAUCUAUGUACAACUUUCAGCAACGGAUCUCUUGGCUCUCGCAUCGAUGAAGAACGCAGCGAAAUGCGAUAAGUAAUGUGAAUUGCAGAAUUCAGUGAACCAUCGAAUUUUUGAACGCACCUUGUGCCCCUUGGUAUUCCGAGGAGCAUGCCUGUUUGAGUGUCAUGGAAAUCUCAACCCUGUUUCCUUAUGUGAACAGGGCUUGGAUCCUGGAGGCUUCAAUGCCGGCCGCUCUGGUAUUCGGCUCCUCUUGAAUGCAUGGCCUGAGCCCUUUGUGGAUCAGCUUCGGUGUGCUAAUUGUCUAUGCCGUUCUGUGAAACGUGCACCGUUGUAAGUGUGCGGGCUUAGUUGAUUUUUAAUUGCCCUCUCACCGGGACAAUCUUUUUGGCCUUUGACCUCAAAUCAGGUAGGGUUACCCGCUGAACUUAAGCAUAU